rnacentral:rRNA from 1 species
AGAUUGAACGCUGGCGGCAUGCCUAACACAUGCAAGUCGAACGGGAGUAGCAAUACUCUAGUGGCGGACGGGUGAGGAAUACGUAGGAAUUUGCCCUUAAGUGGGGGAUAACCCGGGGAACCCGGAUUAAUACCGCAUGACCUCGAAAGAGCAAAGUGGGGGAUCGCAAGACCUCACGCUUUUGGAGAAGCCUACGUCGGAUUAGCUAGUUGGUGAGGUAAUGGCUCACCAAGGCGACGAUCCGUAACUGGUCUGAGAGGACGAUCAGUCACACGGAACUGAGA